GACGAACGCUGGCGGCGUGCUUAACACAUGCAAGUCGAACGGAAAGGCCCUGCUUUUGUGGGGUGCUCGAGUGGCGAACGGGUGAGUAACACGUGAGUAACCUGCCCUUGACUUUGGGAUAACUUCAGGAAACUGGGGCUAAUACCGGAUAGGAGCUCCUGCUGCAUGGUGGGGGUUGGAAAGUUUCGGCGGUUGGGGAUGGACUCGCGGCUUAUCAGCUUGUUGGGGGGGUAGUGGCUUACCAAGGCUUUGGCGGGUAGCCGGCCUGAGAGGGUGACCGGCCACAUUGGGACUGAGAUACGGCCCAGACUCCUACGGGAGGCAGCAGUGGGGAAUAUUGCACAAUGGGCGGAAGCCUGAUGCAGCAACGCCGCGUGCGGGAUGACGGCCUUCGGGUUGUAAACCGCUUUCGCCUGUGACGAAGCGUGAGUGACGGUAAUGGGUAAAGAAGCACCGGCUAACUACGUG
rnacentral:rRNA from 1 species